AUUAGCUGAAAAUCAAAUUUCGAACUUGAAAAAGAAAAGCUUUAAACUAAGC
rnacentral:tRNA from 1 species